GAUGAACGCUGGCGGCGUGCCUAAUACAUGCAAGUCGAGCGAACAGAUAAGGAGCUUGCUCCUUUGACGUUAGCGGCGGACGGGUGAGUAACACGUGGAUAACCUACCUAUAAGACUGGGAUAACUUCGGGAAACCGGAGCUAAUACCGGAUAACAUAUUGAACCGCAUGGUUCAAUAGUGAAAGGCGGCUUUGCUGUCACUUAUAGAUGGAUCCGCGCCGUAUUAGCUAGUUGGUAAGGUAACGGCUUACCAAGGCAACGAUACGUAGCCGACCUGAGAGGUUGAUCGGCCACACUGGAACUGAGACACGGUCCAGACUCCUACGGGAGGCAGCAGUAGGGAAUCUUCCGCAAUGGGCGAAAGCCUGACGGAGCAACGCCGCGUGAUUGAUGAAGGUCUUCGGAUCGUAAAACUCUGUUAUCAGGGAAGAACAAAUGUGUAAGUAACUGUGCACAUCUUGACGGUACCUGAUCAGAAAGCCACGGCUAACUACGUG
rnacentral:rRNA from 1 species